rnacentral:lncRNA from 1 species
AUAUGCAUCAUUGCCUUCUCUUUCUCUUUUGAAAAAGAGAACUCAAUAUGUUCUAUUUCUCUUCUCUCUCUCUCUGGUUCUACUAGCGGUCGCUCACGGUGCUGCUAAUGGUGACUGGGAGGAAGCCGACGAUGGUUCACGAUGGUUAUUGUAGUGGCGGGCAAUGUUUGCUGCAUUUUUUUUCGUCUUCUUCCCCGUGCAAGGGCACCAGCCUCUGUUUUGUUUUUCUUCCUCGUCUGCUUCUGUUUGUUCUUCUCUCUGCCAAAUAUUUCCCUUCUUUUUGGCCGUAUAACAACCAGCCUCCUCCUCCUCCUCCAGCUCCGCCAUUGUGCUAAUUUAAUAGUUUUUUUGAAACACAUUCAAUUUGUAAUGAAUUUUAUUUAAGUUUAUUUUUUUGUUCUUAAUGUUUAAUAAAAUUUUAUUUGCAUAAUUUUUUGUUCUUAAUGUUUAAUAAAAUU